UGGGGAAUAUUGCACAAUGGGCGCAAGCCUGAUGCAGCCAUGCCGCGUGUAUGAAGAAGGCCUUCGGGUUGUAAAGUACUUUCAGCGAGGAGGAAGGUGGUGAGGUUAAUAACCUCAUCAAUUGACGUUACUCGCAGAAGAAGCACCGGCUAACUCCGUGCCAGCAGCCGCGGUAAUACGGAGGGUGCAAGCGUUAAUCGGAAUUACUGGGCGUAAAGCGCACGCAGGCGGUCUGUCAAGUCGGAUGUGAAAUCCCCGGGCUCAACCUGGGAACUGCAUUCGAAACUGACAGGCUAGAGUCUUGUAGA
rnacentral:rRNA from 1 species